UAAGGAAUAUUGGUCAAUGGACGCAAGUCUGAACCAGCCAUGCCGCGUGGAGGAUGAAGGUCCUCUGGAUUGUAAACUUCUUUUAUUUGGGAAGCAAUGCAUUUUUUCUAGAGUGCUUGACGGUACCAGAUGAAUAAGCACCGGCUAACUCCGUGCCAGCAGCCGCGGUAAUACGGAGGGUGCAAGCGUUAUCCGGAUUCACUGGGUUUAAAGGGUGCGUAGGUGGGCAUGUAAGUCAGUGGUGAAAUCUCCGGGCUUAACCCGGAAACUGCCAUUGAUACUAUAGGUCUUGAAUACCGUGGAGGUAAGCGGAAUAUGUCAUGUAGCGGUGAAAUGCUUAGAUAUGACAUAGAACACCAAUUGCGAAGGCAGCUUACUACCCGAAUAUUGACACUGAGGCACGAAAGCGUGGGGAUCAAAC
rnacentral:rRNA from 1 species